AUUGAACGCUGGCGGCAUGCUUUACACAUGCAAGUCGAACGGCAGCGGGGAGGAGCUUGCUUCUCUGCCGGCGAGUGGCGAACGGGUGAGUAAUACAUCGGAACGUGUCGAGAAGAGGGGGAUAACCACCCGAAAGGGUGGCUAAUACCGCAUAAAUUCUGAGGAAGAAAGCUGGGGACCUAGGAAUAGGCCUAGCGCUUUUUGAGCGGCCGAUGUCGGAUUAGCUAGUUGGUGAGGUAAAGGCUCACCAAGGCGAAGAUCUGUAGCGGGUCUGAGAGGUUGAUCCGCCACACUGGGACUGAGACACGGCCCAGACUCCUACGGGAGGCAGCAGUGGGGAAUUUUGGACAAUGGGGGCAACCCUGAUCCAGCCAUGCCGCGUGUAUGAAGAAGGCCUUAGGGUUGUAAAGUACUUUUGUUAGGGAAGAAAAGGCAGCUGUGAAUAAUGGCUGAUACUGACGGUACCUAAAGAAUAAGCACCGGCUAACUACGUG
rnacentral:rRNA from 1 species